UAGGGAAUCUUCGGCAAUGGACGAAAGUCUGACCGAGCAACGCCGCGUGAGUGAAGAAGGUUUUCGGAUCGUAAAACUCUGUUGUUAGAGAAGAACAAGGGUGAGAGUAGAAAGUUCACCCCUUGACGGUAUCUAACCAGAAAGCCACGGCUAACUACGUGCCAGCAGCCGCGGUAAUACGUAGGUGGCAAGCGUUGUCCGGAUUUAUUGGGCGUAAAGCGAGCGCAGGCGGUUUCUUAAGUCUGAUGUGAAAGCCCCCGGCUCAACCGGGGAGGGUCAUUGGAAACUGGGAAACUUGAGUGCAGAAGAGGAGAGUGGAAUUCCAUGUGUAGCGGUGAAAUGCGUAGAUAUAUGGAGGAACACCAGUGGCGAAGGCGGCUCUCUGGUCUGUAACUGACGCUGAGGCUCGAAAGCGUGGGGAGCAAACA
rnacentral:rRNA from 2 species